ensembl:lncRNA
UGUUUGUCCUUAGCCGUGCACUCUAGCUAGCUAGGAAGUUUGAUGUCAUCAAAUUUCACAUGAUGUAUAGCGACGUCCAAACAUCAAAACAUUGCUAGCAAAUUGUAAAAAAAAAAUGGAUAGUAACAAUAUAAUUCCAUUAAAUAACGACAGUAGACGCUGUAUUUUCUUUAAUACAGAUUCUGACGACUAUCGAUGUGUGGUGAUUCUCACAGUGAAGCGAGCCACAGGCACCUUCUCACUGAUAGGAUGCUUUUUCAUGCUGUUUGUAAUCUGGCUUCUCCGCCGGUAUCACUCCUUGGCCCAGGUCACCAGGCUGCUCAUUUUGGAGCGCACCUGUCACCAUCGUUACGUGGACCUGUGCGUCAUCAGUCUCACCUGGACUCCAUCACUUCCCUGAUUACCUUCCCUAUACAGUUGAAGUCGGAAGUUUACGUACACUUAGAAGAUGAUUUGCAGUCUGACAGUUGCGGCCUUCUUUGACAGUGUAGCGUAUGUCAUCGGUGAUACCCAUCCAGAGGGGAGUCUGUGUAACUUCCAGGCCUGGUGGCUCACUUAUUUUGACUGGAGUGCCUUGGCCUGGGUGUCCUGAAUUAUUCUGAACC